rnacentral:rRNA from 1 species
UACGGAGGGUGCGAGCGUUGUCCGGAAUCAUUGGGCGUAAAGGGUGCGUAGGUGGUCGUUAAGUCCGUUGUGAAAUCCCUGGGCUCAACCUGGGAAUGGCAGUGGAUAACUGGACGGCUAGAAUGCGGUAGAGGGUAGUGGAAUUCCCGGUGUAGCAGUGAAAUGCGUAGAGAUGGGAGGAACACCAGUGGCGAAGGCGGCUACCUGGACCCAGCAUUGACACUCAAGCACGAAAGCGUGGG